GUGCAGUUGGAAGGAAGGAGAGUGAAAGAUUUUAUUCUUAGUGAGAUGGAAAGCAAUUUGGAAGGUUUAGUGAUGACAACUGCUGUGGCCACAUGUUCCAGAUGGCUCAGCUAAAGAUGACGAAGCUUCCUUCAGCCUGUGUCCUGGAGACUCUUUUGGAGAGGAGUCUGCUGUCCUAUAUGAAUUCACAAACUUCAGUUGCUUGACCAGUCUCUCUCUAUGGGCAUCAGAU